GCCUCUGUAGCUCAGUUGGUUAGAGCGUUGCACCGGAAUCGCAGGGCCGUACAUGUAGGUUCAAUUCCUACCAGAGGAC